GAGAUAGCCAUGCGAGUCAGCGUAGCAAUACGUGGCACACGGCUCAGUAACACGUAGUCAACAUAACCAAAGGACGUGGAUAAACUCGGGAAACUGAGGCUAAACCGCGAUAGAUCAAGAUAUCUGGAAUGGUUUUUGAUCAAAAUCUAUAUGGCCUUUGGAUUGGACUGCGUCCGAUCAGGCUGUUGGUGAGGUAAUGGCCCACCAAACCUGUAACCGGUACGGGCUCUGAGAGGAGGAGCCCGGAGAUGGGUACUGAGAAAAGGACCCAGGCCCUAUGGGGCGCAGCAGGCGCGAAACCUCUGCAAUAGGCGAAAGCCUGACAGGGUUACUCUGAGUGACUUUCGCUAAGAAAGUCUUUUGACACCUCUAAAAAUGGUGUAGAAUAAGGGGUGGGCAAGUCUGGUGUCAGCCGCCGCGGUAAUACCAGCACCCCGAGUGGUCGGGACGAUUAUUGGGCCUAAAGCAUCCGUAGCCGGUUUUACAAGUCCUCCGUUAAAUCCAGCUGCUUAACAGAUGGGCUGCGGAGGAUACUAUAAGACUAGGAGGCAGGAGAGGCAAGCGGUACUCAGUGGGUAGGGGUAAAAUCCGUUGAUCCAUUGAAGACCACCAGUGGCGAAGGCGGCUUGCCAGAAUGCGCUCGACGGUGAGGGAUGAAAGCUGGGGGAGCAAACCGGAUUAGAUACCCGGGUAGUCCCAGCUGUAAACGAUGCAGACUCGGUGAUGGACUAGCUUUAUGCUAGUCCAGUGCCGCAGGGAAGCCGUUAAGUCUGCCGCCUGGGUAGUACGGUCGCAAGACUGAAACUUAAAGGAAUUGGCGGGGGAGCACCACAAGGGUGAAGCCUGCGGUUC
rnacentral:rRNA from 1 species